UCCCUGGAGGACUAGUGGUUAGGCUUCAUUGCACUCACUGUUAUGGCCUGGGUUCGAUUCCCGGCCAGGAAA